rnacentral:rRNA from 1 species
AAAACUCAAGGGAAUUGACGGGGGCCCACACAACCGGUGGAGCACGUGGUUUAAUUCGAUGAUAAGCGAAGAACCUUACCAGGGCUUGACCUAGCGGUAGUAGGAUCCUGAAAGGGAAACGACCUCAAGCUUUGCUUGAGGAGCCGUGGCAGGUAUUGCAUGGCUGUCGUCAGCUCGUGUCGUGGGACGUUGGGUUAAGUCCCGUAACGAGCGCAACCCCUGCUCUUAAUUGCCAGCGGGUAAUGCCGGGUACUAUAAGGGGACUGCCGGAGAAUAUCCGGAGGAAGGAGGGGAUGACGUCAAGUCAUUAUGAUCCUUAUGCUCUGGGCGACACACGUGCUACAAUGGGCACUACAAUGAGGAGCAAGUCUGCAAGGACGAGCAAAUCUCAAAAAGGUGCCCCCAGUGCGGAUUGGGGUCUGCAACCCGACCCCAUGAAGAUGGAAUCGGUAGUAAUCGCGGGUCAGCCAUACCGCGGUGAAUAUGUACUUGGGCCUUGUACACACCGCCCGUCACACCAAUCGAGUAGGCGACACCCGAAGUCGACGUAUGUUGCCGAAGGUGUUACCUGCAAGAGGGGUGAAGUCGUAACAAGGUAGCCGUAGA